AUGAGGCGAACCGGGGGAACUGAAACAUCUAAGUACCCCGAGGAAAAGAAAUCAACCGAGAUUCCCCCAGUAGCGGCGAGCGAACGGGGAGGAGCCCAGAGCCUGAAUCAGUGUGUGUGUUAGUGGAAGCGUCUGGAAAGGCGCGCGAUACAGGGUGACAGCCCCGUACACAAAAAUGCACAUGCUGUGAGCUCGAUGAGUAGGGCGGGACACGUGGUAUCCUGUCUGAAUAUGGGGGGACCAUCCUCCAAGGCUAAAUACUCCUGACUGACCGAUAGUGAACCAGUACCGUGAGGGAAAGGCGAAAAGAACCCCGGCGAGGGGAGUGAAAAAGAACCUGAAACCGUGUACGUACAAGCAGUGGGAGCCUCUUUAUGGGGUGACUGCGUACCUUUUGUAUAAUGGGUCAGCGACUUAUAUUCUGUAGCAAGGUUAACCGAAUAGGGGAGCCGAAGGGAAACCGAGUCUUAACUGGGCGUUAAGUUGCAGGGUAUAGACCCGAAACCCGGUGAUCUAGCCAUGGGCAGGUUGAAGGUUGGGUAACACUAACUGGAGGACCGAACCGACUAAUGUUGAAAAAUUAGCGGAUGACUUGUGGCUGGGGGUGAAAGGCCAAUCAAACCGGGAGAUAGCUGGUUCUCCCCGAAAGCUAUUUAGGUAGCGCCUCGUGAAUUCAUCUCCGGGGGUAGAGCACUGUUUCGGCAAGGGGGUCAUCCCGACUUACCAACCCGAUGCAAACUGCGAAUACCGGAGAAUGUUAUCACGGGAGACACACGGCGGGUGCUAACGUCCGUCGUGAAGAGGGAAACAACCCAGACCGCCAGCUAAGGUCCCAAAGUCAUGGUUAAGUGGGAAACGAUGUGGGAAGGCCCAGACAGCCAGGAUGUUGGCUUAGAAGCAGCCAUCAUUUAAAGAAAGCGUAAUAGCUCACUGGUCGAGUCGGCCUGCGCGGAAGAUGUAACGGGGCUAAACCAUGCACCGAAGCUGCGGCAGCGACGCUUAUGCGUUGUUGGGUAGGGGAGCGUUCUGUAAGCCUGUGAAGGUGUGCUGUGAGGCAUGCUGGAGGUAUCAGAAGUGCGAAUGCUGACAUAAGUAACGAUAAAGCGGGUGAAAAGCCCGCUCGCCGGAAGACCAAGGGUUCCUGUCCAACGUUAAUCGGGGCAGGGUGAGUCGACCCCUAAGGCGAGGCCGAAAGGCGUAGUCGAUGGGAAACAGGUUAAUAUUCCUGUACUUGGUGUUACUGCGAAGGGGGGACGGAGAAGGCUAUGUUGGCCGGGCGACGGUUGUCCCGGUUUAAGCGUGUAGGCUGGUUUUCCAGGCAAAUCCGGAAAACCAAGGCUGAGGCGUGAUGACGAGGCACUACGGUGCUGAAGCGACAAAUGCCCUGCUUCCAGGAAAAGCCUCUAAGCAUCAGGUAACAUCAAAUCGUACCCCAAACCGACACAGGUGGUCAGGUAGAGAAUACCAAGGCGCUUGAGAGAACUCGGGUGAAGGAACUAGGCAAAAUGGUGCCGUAACUUCGGGAGAAGGCACGCUGAUAUGUAGGUGAAGCGACUUGCUCGUGGAGCUGAAAUCAGUCGAAGAUACCAGCUGGCUGCAACUGUUUAUUAAAAACACAGCACUGUGCAAACACGAAAGUGGACGUAUACGGUGUGACGCCUGCCCGGUGCCGGAAGGUUAAUUGAUGGGGUUAGCGGCAACGCGAAGCUCUUGAUCGAAGCCCCGGUAAACGGCGGCCGUAACUAUAACGGUCCUAAGGUAGCGAAAUUCCUUGUCGGGUAAGUUCCGACCUGCACGAAUGGCGUAAUGAUGGCCAGGCUGUCUCCACCCGAGACUCAGUGAAAUUGAACUCGCUGUGAAGAUGCAGUGUACCCGCGGCAAGACGGAAAGACCCCGUGAACCUUUACUAUAGCUUGACACUGAACAUUGAGCCUUGAUGUGUAGGAUAGGUGGGAGGCUUUGAAGUGUGGACGCCAGUCUGCAUGGAGCCGACCUUGAAAUACCACCCUUUAAUGUUUGAUGUUCUAACGUUGGCCCGUAAUCCGGGUUGCGGACAGUGUCUGGUGGGUAGUUUGACUGGGGCGGUCUCCUCCUAAAGAGUAACGGAGGAGCACGAAGGUUGGCUAAUCCUGGUCGGACAUCAGGAGGUUAGUGCAAUGGCAUAAGCCAGCUUGACUGCGAGCGUGACGGCGCGAGCAGGUGCGAAAGCAGGUCAUAGUGAUCCGGUGGUUCUGAAUGGAAGGGCCAUCGCUCAACGGAUAAAAGGUACUCCGGGGAUAACAGGCUGAUACCGCCCAAGAGUUCAUAUCGACGGCGGUGUUUGGCACCUCGAUGUCGGCUCAUCACAUCCUGGGGCUGAAGUAGGUCCCAAGGGUAUGGCUGUUCGCCAUUUAAAGUGGUACGCGAGCUGGGUUUAGAACGUCGUGAGACAGUUCGGUCCCUAUCUGCCGUGGGCGCUGGAGAACUGAGGGGGGCUGCUCCUAGUACGAGAGGACCGGAGUGGACGCAUCACUGGUGUUCGGGUUGUCAUGCCAAUGGCACUGCCCGGUAGCUAAAUGCGGAAGAGAUAAGUGCUGAAAGCAUCUAAGCACGAAACUUGCCCCGAGAUGAGUUCUCCCUGACUCCUUGAGGGUCCUGAAGGAACGUUGAAGACGACGACGUUGAUAGGCUGGGUGUGUAAGCGCAGCGAUGCGUUGAGCUAACCGGUACUAAUGAACCGUGAGGCUUAACCUU
rnacentral:rRNA from 1 species